rnacentral:tRNA from 1 species
GAAGGUAUAACUCAGUGGUAGAGUGCGUGCUUAGCAUGCACAGGGUCCUGGGUUCAAUCCCCAGGGCUUCCA